rnacentral:rRNA from 1 species
AUUGAACGCUGGCGGUAUGCUUAACACAUGCAAGUCGAACGGUAACAUAACUAGCUUGCUAGUUGAUGACGAGUGGCGGACGGGUGAGUAACGCGUAGGAAUUUACCUUUCGGUGGGGGACAACCUGGUGAACCGGAUUAAUACCGCAUAAGCCCUACGGGGGAAACGAGGCCACUUCUUGAAAGCUUCGACCGAUAGAUGAGCCUGCGUAAGAUUAGCUAGUUGGUGGGGUAAUGGCUCACCAAGGCGACGAUCUUUAGCUGGUCUGAGAGGAUGAUCAGCCACACUGGGACUGAGACACGGCCCAGACUCCUACGGGAGGCAGCAGUGGGGAAUAUUGGACAAUGGGCGAAAGCCUGAUCCAGCAAUACCGCGUGUGUGAAGAAGGGUUUCGGCUCGUAAAGUACUUUCAAUUGUGAAGAAAAGUUGUGGCUUAAUACGCCAUGACCUUGACGUUAACUUUAGAAGAAGCACCGGCUAACUCCGUGCCAGCAGCCGCGGUAAUACGGAGGGUGCAAGCGUUAAUCGGAAUUACUGGGCGUAAAGCGUACGUAGGCGGUUAUUUAAGUCAGAUGUGAAAGCCCCGGGCUCAACCUGGGAACUGCAUUUGAAACUGGGUAACUAGAGUUUGGUAGAGGUGAGUAGAAUUCCUAGUGUAGCGGUGAAAUGCGUAGAUAUUAGGAGGAAUACCAGGGGCGAAGGCGGCUCACUGGACCAAAACUGACGCUGAGGCACGAAAGCGUGGGGAGCAAACGGGAUUAGAUACCCCGGUAGUCCACGCCGUAAACGAUGUCAACUAGUCGUUGGGUCCUUCGGGACUUAGUGACGCAGCUAACGCGUUAAGUUGACCGCCUGGGGAGUACGGCCGUAAGGCUAAAACUCAAACGAAUUGACGGGGGCCCGCACAAGCGGUGGAGCAUGUGGUUUAAUUCGAUGCAACGCGAAGAACCUUCCCUACUCUUGACAUCCUCAGAACUUGUUAGAGAUAACUUGGUGCCUUCGGGAACUCAGUGACAGGUGCUGCAUGGCUGUCGUCAGCUCGUGUCGUGAGAUGUUGGGUUAAGUCCCGUAACGAGCGCAACCCUUGUCCUUAGUUGCCAGCACGUAAUGGUGGGAACUCUAAGGAGACUGCCGGUGAUAAACCGGAGGAAGGUGGGGACGACGUUAAGUCAUUAUGGCCCUUACGGGAUGGGCUACACACGUGCUACAAUGGCCGGUACACAGGGCAGCAAACUCGCGAGAGUGAGCGAAUCCCACAAAGCCGGUCGUAGUCCGGAUUGGAGUCUGCAACUCGACUCCAUGAAGUCGGAAUCGCUAGUAAUCGUGGAUCAGAAUGCCGCGGUGAAUACGUUCCCGGGCCUUGUACACACCGCCCGUCACACCAUGGGAGUGGGUUGCAAAAGAAGUAGGUAGUUUAAUCCUUCGGGAGGGACGGUUAACUUUGUGGUUCAUGACUGGGGUG